rnacentral:rRNA from 1 species
UGGGGAAUAUUGGACAAUGGGCGAAAGCCUGAUCCAGCCAUGCCGCGUGUGUGAAGAAGGUCUUCGGAUUGUAAAGCAUUUUAAGUUGGGAGGAAGGGCAGUAAGCGAAUACCUUGCUGUUUUGACGUUACCGACAGAAUAAGCACCGGCUAACUCUGUGCCAGCAGCCGCGGUAAUACAGAGGGUGCAAGCGUUAAUCGGAAUUACUGGGCGUAAAGCGCGCGUAGGUGGUUCGUUAAGUUGAAUGUGAAAACCCCGGGCUCAACCUGGGAACUGCAUCCAAAACUGGCGAGCUAGAGUAGGGCAGAGGGUGGUGGAAUUUCCUGUGUAGCGGUGAAAUGCGUAGAUAUAGGAAGGAACACCAGUGGCGAAGGCGACCACCUGGGCUCAUACUGACACUGAGGUGCGAAAGCGUGGGGAGCAAACAGG